CCCUUAGAUGUUCUGGGCCGCACGCGCGCUACACUGACGAAGUCAGCGAGCAUGUCCUACGCCGACAGGUGCGGGGAAUCUUGUCAAACUUCGUCGUGAUGGGGAUUGAUUAUUGAAAUUCUUGAUCAUCAACGAGGAAUUCCUAGUAAGCGCAAGUCAGCAGCUUGCGUUGAUUACGUCCCUGCCCUUUGUACACACCGCCCGUCGCUACUACCGACUGAAUGGUUUAGUGAGAUCUUCGGAUUGGCGCCACUGCGGCUCAGCAAUGGGCUCGGUGGAUGCCGAAAAGUUGAUCAAACUUGAUCAUUUAGAGGAAGUAAAAGUCGUAACA
rnacentral:rRNA from 1 species